rnacentral:rRNA from 1 species
AUUGAACGCUGGCGGCAGGCCUAACACAUGCAAGUCGAGCGGCAGCGGAAAGUAGCUUGCUACUUUGCCGGCGAGCGGCGGACGGGUGAGUAAUGUCUGGGAAACUGCCUGAUGGAGGGGGAUAACUACUGGAAACGGUAGCUAAUACCGCAUGACCUCGAAAGAGCAAAGUGGGGGAUCUUCGGACCUCACGCCAUCGGAUGUGCCCAGAUGGGAUUAGCUAGUAGGUGAGGUAAUGGCUCACCUAGGCGACGAUCCCUAGCUGGUCUGAGAGGAUGACCAGCCACACUGGAACUGAGACACGGUCCAGACUCCUACGGGAGGCAGCAGUGGGGAAUAUUGCACAAUGGGCGCAAGCCUGAUGCAGCCAUGCCGCGUGUGUGAAGAAGGCCUUAGGGUUGUAAAGCACUUUCAGCGAGGAGGAAGGCAUCAUACUUAAUACGUGUGGUGAUUGACGUUACUCGCAGAAGAAGCACCGGCUAACUCCGUGCCAGCAGCCGCGGUAAUACGGAGGGUGCAAGCGUUAAUCGGAAUUACUGGGCGUAAAGCGCACGCAGGCGGUUUGUUAAGUCAGAUGUGAAAUCCCCGCGCUUAACGUGGGAACUGCAUUUGGAACUGGCAAGCUAGAGUCUUGUAGAGGGGGGUAGAAUUCCAGGUGUAGCGGUGAAAUGCGUAGAGAUCUGGAGGAAUACCGGUGGCGAAGGCGGCCCCCUGGACAAAGACUGACGCUCAGGUGCGAAAGCGUGGGGAGCAAACAGG